AUACGGAGGAUCCGAGCGUUAUCCGGAUUUAUUGGGUUUAAAGGGUGCGCAGGCGGCCAUUUAAGUCAGCGGUUAAAUCGUGGGGCUCAACCCCAUUCUGCCGUUGAUACUGGGUGGCUUGAUUGCGGUCGAGGUUGGCGGAAUUCGUUGUGUAGCGGUGAAAUGCAUAGAUAUGACGAAGAACACCGAUUGCGUAGGCAGCUGACCAGACCGCAAAUGACGCUCAUGCACGAAAGUGCGGGGAUCGAACAGGAUUAGAUACCCUGGUAGUCCGCACAGUAAACGAUGAAUACUUGUUUUAGGCGAUAUAAUGUCGGAGGCAAAGCGAAAGCGAUAAGUAUUCCACCUGGGGAGUACGCCGGCAACGGUGAAACUCAAAUGAAUUGACGGGG
rnacentral:rRNA from 1 species